UGGGGGAGUUGGGGGGACGGACACGACAGGGACAGGACACUUGUACAGAUGGAUUUGGUGCCACCAGCACUACUCCCUCAAUCAACUCAGGCUUUCAACCAACAAAAGCCUGAAAGACGAGUUGUCUACGACUUCUGGUUUCAGCCUGCCUUCACCAACACCCCCUGAGGCGACAGAGCACAAAGCAUCAGCGUAACGUGACUCGCGCUCCCCUUCCAAGUGGAGAAUCCCAUUGUACAAAACAGAAAGGGAGCUGCUUUGGUUGUCAGGUUGGGGCACAGAACUCCUGCUGGAUGGUUUCCUCACUCCAUCCCUGUCGCAGUCCCUGCAGUGGCUCAAGCAGACCGGAAGGCUCAGUGGAGCAUGGGGUGAAGAACCAGCCUCAGCCCACCCUCCACCCCACACUGAAAGCCUCUUCGUGGCUUCCCUUCACCCACCUCUGAUCACUCCCUUCCUGAGAGAAGUCUCACAGGCAGCCGACCCAUCGCCCAGCACCACCCAGGACGGGAAAACACUUCCUAUAUGAUUGACGACCCCAAUGUGAUUCCCCGUCACUCACCCACAAGUCUCAGUUCUGCCUAAGAGACCACAAGGAACAGGUCUACGUCCUCUUUCACAUGAGUUACAGAGCAUAUCUCUCCCUGGAGCGUCUUUUCCAGAUGAAACAGGCACUUAAACCUAUGAUAAGUGGGUAAAUGAAUGAAUAAAUGAAGAAGCAAACAUAGGAAGGAGCAGAUUGGAGGUGGAAAAGGAAGGAAGAGAAAGAACAACUGAAUGAAACACUCUCGUCAUUCUCUUCUGCACACUCUCUAGCUUGAAAAUGGUUCUCUUAAAAAGUGACAUGUGUGAGAAAAUUGUAGCUUUUGGAACUGAACACAAUUCUCCAGAAAGACCUUAACCAAGUGUUUUUCCUACUGUUGGCGGUAACCCAUAGAAGUUCUUCCUGCAGCCUAGCAGAUCGCCUCGCACCCCUACUUUGGAGACCAUGACACCCAGAAGGAGCUCACCAUCACCGCACAGGAGGGAGCAGACAAAGCCUUUUGGGCCAGAACGAAAGUUCAGGUCUAAACAAGGAAUACCCCCCAGAGGGUAACACCUGGACUGUAUCGGCCCACCAGAGCAAAGCCACACCAAGUUCCUGCAAUCAGAUCCUCUUCCAAGGCUACCUCACGUUGAUGUGAGAGGAUCCUGGAGGGGAAAGAGGGAUGGAAUCAGGGCCCCAAAAUAAAUGUAGUUGACUUCUCUUCGUUGCCUCCAGCAAUACCUAAAAUUUUGUAGUGAUGUUAUUUGCUAAAAGUAAUAAUGCUAACCACUACUACUUAUCGAGCACUCGGAAUUCUAAGUUCUGCACAUGUGUUAUUUCACUUAGUUUUUGAAAUAAUACCAGGGGUAAAGCGUUAUUAUCCCACUUUACAUAUGGGGCACCUGAGACUCAGAGACAUUAAAU
rnacentral:lncRNA from 1 species